rnacentral:lncRNA from 1 species
GGACAAUGAGCAAAUGAAAAAUACAUCAUUUUUAGACCUCAGGAAAUGCAAAAUACCACAAUGUGCUGUCAUUCUUUACUCAGAACAACUCUCAAUGAAAAAAAAAGCCAAACAUAAACUUGCUAAAGGUUGGUAAGAAAUAUAAACACUCUCACAUGGAGAAACAGAGAAAGGAGGGAGGGAGGGAAGGAAGAAAAGGGACAGAGAAAGAGAAACUUGAGAGGCAGAAAUAGGGCAAAUGGAAAAGUGUUUUAUAUAAUUGUGUUCCCCCGCUACCUUAUUUGUUCUCAUGGAAGUCAUCAUAGAGAGGAAAAUCUGUGCUGUGCCUACAAUCUCUGUCUUAGUGAUGAACUGGAAAGAAAAGAAAAAAGAAAUUGGGAAAAACAGGAGAGAUUUGAGAGCUAUGUGUAGUCCUUGCAUUAGAGCCUUAGACGCUGGAGAAAUUGCUUCAUUUCCUGGGGCUCCUGUCUCCUUAAAUGGCACAAUGUGUUUACCUGCCGAUGAGCAGCUGUACCUGGAACCCAGUGGUGAGGAUACUGGAAGGAUUGCAUCAGUUCUGUACCUGACUCAUUGAGAUGGGGUAAUGGUAAAGUUGGAGGUGAGAGGAAAAGAAUCGCAAUUUCUCUUAAGAUUUCCUGUGAAUUAUCCUAGUCUGUGGGCAAAUUCUCAAGAAUGCUGUUUUGAAAAGGGUGACGAUAUUUAGUUAAAAUGUCCUCAGAGGAAGGGGAGGUUAGGCCUGAGAAAAGCGUGCCCAAACCACAGAGCCUGCCGAGUGCAGGCCACAUCACCAGCAACGGCCUUAAUGAGCUCUGGGCUGGACUCUCCCAAUUGAAUUACAUAAUACAUUUCCGUUUCAUUUCAUGAAUCACGACUUGGGAUACAAUGUUCCUGGGUUGCAGUUGAUAUAUUUCAGAGAUUACCAAAGAUUUCAAACAGAAAAAAAGAUCUAUUUUAUUAAACUCAUAUGUAAAAUGUCUGUAUGUCAGCCAACUUAUUUAUUUUCAAAUUUGGGAUUUUUGUAAAUGUCAUCGUUAGACAAUGUCAAGAGAGUUCCCGAUAAACCCAUUAAUGAAUGGUAUGACUGAAGCGGCCCCUGGACAUUUCAUUUCUCUUGACAACCAGGUUCCUGCUUGAUGAUGGUGGCUUUUAUUUCAACUGCUUCUGUUGGGUGAAAGUGAGGAAAAUAUGGCAAACCUCAAAGCAUGGACCAGGGGGAAGUCAGGCUCAACCAGACUGUUCACGGGCAUAUGGUCUGAGAUGAUCCAUCAUGGUCUAUGAUGUCAGAUUAUCCACUGAGACUUGGGACUCUGCAGAAAUAUAGUUCUGUUCAGAUAAUGGUAUUUCCAGUUGUUGUGAUGGACAAGACCGACGCUGUGGAAAACAGACUGGUAGGAUACCAGAUGACAGACGCACAAGGCAGGCAGAAGAACAAGGCAUUGUGAACUGAGCCGUAGGUGAGUUUUGCAGUGCCUUCCUCCACUGCAUUUCUCAGCAGUCAGCAUUGGUUACCAUCCCAAACCCCAUAGUCAACCAGUCCACAGACACACAGCCUUUGGUGUGGUAAGUUCCUGGCCACUGUCGUGAUGAUUACCCAAGCUUCCACAGGCUCUUCCCGCUGUGCAUCCCCCUCCUGCUACUCUUGUCUCGCUUCAUAAACCUGAAAGGCCAUGUAAAGGGCUGCUUUCAGCCCCUUCCUCCCUGUGGUUAACAGCUCCAAUCAUUUACUCUUCCUCUGCAUCGUUUGUUUUGUUUUUCCUGUCUUUAACUCAUUCUCUUUAUAUUUUUUCUGGAAUAUUCUCCUAAAUCCCCUAUAUUCUGCCCUGAAUAUUUUGCCUUCCAAUACUGAAGCAAGAAAAAAUGAGAGACCUGGAAGGACUUGUGGGCAGGGGAAAGAAUAAGAUCAAAAUAGACUGCAGGAAAACAAUAAAAAUAAUUCUAAAAUGUAAUUUAAAAAGAACAAUCAGAACCUACCCCUAUGGAACUCCAUUAUUUUACCUACAUGUAUAAUGUAUAUCACAUGUGAACACUGUAUACAUCCACUGACUUUAGCAGGGUACUGUGUAGACAAAGAAGCAAAAUGACACCAUGGAAAUAUGGUCUUUGAGACCAAGAUGACUUAGAUUUAAAUGGCUGAUUUGCUGUUUACCGAGUGUUUGAGCCUUGGAAGUAUUAUGACUUAACCUCUAGGUUCCUAUGGUUCCUUUGUUUAUCCUACGAGUGAGCUGUAAAACUUAUCAUCAUAUUGGCAUACAGGCAACCAAUGUUUGGAGCCCAUCAUGUCUGUCAUUUCUAUGAUUAAUCAACUCCUUCACAUGCCUGUUUUUUAAGCUGCAGAUCUUUUUGUGGAUACAUAAUCCAUAUUGUAUUAAUACAGAAUCUCAAUCAUAUUAAAAUUUGUUUAAAUGAAUGAGUUUUGAAGGCACUUUUCAGGGUCCAUAGACAUAGUAAACAGACAGAAUCAAUGUCAAUUAAAAAUCCAGAAGUGUCUCACCUUGCUUGGCCCCUGUUUCUCAGAGACCACCCCCACUGAUCACUUUUCCAUUCCAAUUCCAAGUUUUCCUUUUCUGUCUUGGGUGAAAAGUUGAGUGAUAGAAGUUGGGAUGUAGGUCUGAAAACCUCAGGAAAUGGUUAAGUUUACUUUCCUUCUUAAAUGUAUAUUUUAACAUUUUAACAGAGGACAUUGUUAAAAAACCAAGCUGCUCUUCUGACUCCUAAGAAUGGUGAUUUCUUGGCAGAUCUAUAUGUUGUUUUCCACCCUAGACUAGCAACUCAAUCUCCAAGGAAGAACACAAGGAAUCAGGUUUUAACAGGGACAUCAUCACUGGGCCAGCUGGAAAGCCUGAUCUAAAUCAAUCACAAGAUAAUAUAUCUGAACACCAUCCUGCCUAUGUGAAGUUUGUAUGCAACAAACAGGAUUAAUUUAACUCCUCAGGGAGUUUAGAUUCCCUUCGCAAAUUAUAUGCAACACAUAUAUGUAUGUGUACUAUGUGUAGUGUGUAUAUUUAUGUGGUAGUACCCAUGUACAUACUCAGCUGUACUUUUCAGGGUUUCAGUUAUCCAUGGUCAACCAUAGACAGAAUGCAUUCAAUGGAAAGUUUUAAGAUAAACACCUCAUGCGUCUUCAGUAACUUUCAUGGGACUGUAUAUUUAUGACUAUUCUUUCUUGCCAUCAUCUAUUACUGUUAAUCUCUUACUGUGCAUAAUUUAUAAAGUUCACAAUUGGAGUGUAUAUAUAAAGCAAACAUCACAUCUAGAGGACGUGGGUAUCAUUUGUGCUUUCAAGUGUCCACUUAGAAAAUGCCUAUGAAGACACAUAAGUAAGAAGAGAUCACUGUGUAUGCGCAUAGGAUUAGACAUAUAUACACACACAUACUCAUACAUACACAUUAAAAAUGAUAAACUAUCAUACAGCUUCACUGCUGAAAGAAAUAGGGCAAUAGGAGCAAAAUACACAAGAAAAAAAAAGAUCCCCCAAAAGUUAGGAUCUUUUUCUUGGAGGAAAACAGCUGUUUCUUAGAGAAGUUUAUACAGGCAUUUUCAGUACUACUUAUGGAUAUAUUCAAAUAGCCACAUGAGUCAAAUAAAUUGUAUAGCAAACCUCCCCCCCUAUACCUGUCACUGAUUUUGAAUAUGACUUGCCCACCACCCACCCUUCCCGGUGCUCCUCCUGGAAACCUUUUAAAGCAGGCCACAGAAGCCCUGUACUGGCCACAUGUUUAUUACACUUCUAGGGCAGGAUCACAGGAAUGUUUACUUCAUUUCUACACCUGCCCUGUAGAAGGAGUGCAGACCACAAACCACGGUUCAAGUAGCACUGUGUCAAAGCUCAUGCCAAAGGGCUAGGGUGUAGCUCAGUAGUAGAGCUAGUAUUGCCUAGCAUGUGUGGGAACCCGCAUUUGAUCCCCAGUCCUGGAAAAUUAAAGAAGUAAAUAAAUGAAUAGGCUCAGCAGGGGCUGUGGUGAAGAGGAUUCCAAGCAAGAAACAAGUGACAAGAAAAUGAAAAAGCUCCCCUGGGAAGAACUAACUUCACUACAGGAAUCUGAACUAUGCCAGGUAUGCUGUGUGUUCACUUCUUUUUUAAUGGCUGUUAUCAUUGUGGCAAGAUGACACCCUCACUUUCCAAUGUAUAGAUGAGGAGACAGAGGUUCUAAGAAGAGAGCAACCUACACAGAGUCUUCUAACUAAAACUGUCAGCCUCUCUCUUGGUAACCCUCCAGAAAUUUAUGGUAGGACUAUGUUUCUUAAUUCUAUAUAUUGAAUCAUAGAACAGGGAGAAGUCAAGUUGGUAUCUGAAAACUUCCCCUUAAUGACUAGUUUUCAUACUGUUGGAAGGUGCCAUGCACACUGCUGGAGGAGAAAAUUAGAUUGAUUUUAUCUGGGUAUGAACCUAGAGAACUAUGAUACUGACCAGCCUGGCAAAAGGAUGCCUGCUAGCACAAUAGUGGCACAAAAAAACAUGGAAGUAAACAACCAUUUUCUGGUUGGAUUUAAGGCUCAUUCUACAAAAUAAAACCCUUACAUGGCAUUGCUAUAGGGGUCAAGAAUCUAUGGCUAGAUAGGCCAUAGGCCCUAGAGGGACCUGCUAACAUUAUUCUGCUAAUGAAACAUAUAUUAAACCAAAUUCUAUCAGUUUAUUGUUAUAUCCACGGACUAGUGCAUCUCUCAAGCCUCCUCAGAAGAAAUGCUUUUCACAACAGAAAGCAAUCACAGAGAUCCCACUAUAUGACUGGUUAGGGCAUAAAGAAUGAGGGACUACAAAAUGCAGAAUUUUAAAAGGCAUCUAUAUUGCAUCCCCUCCUCCUCCAAGGCUCUGGGAUCACUUUAGAAGUGGGGAAGAAAGACUGUAAGAGUCAGUGGUUGUGAAUGACUACAAAGAAAGUGUUUUUUGCUGGCACAGGUUGGAAGUUGAAUAGAUACAAAUACACUAUUUGUAGUUACAGUGUGUGCACGACCUGCACAAGUUCAACCUAGACUAAGUCCCAGAAUAAAGAAGGGUUGUGGUCAUCAAGACUCACCUCUAGCUCAAGAACUAUUGGCAAAUGACAGUUUCUGGGAGAGGGAGUUUUGUUGAAGGGUGUGGCCCUUGGUAGGCAGACCAUACUCAAACGGAAGGUCACACAUUCAAAAAUAGUGUGGGCAGUCAAAUUAGACUUGAUGGGUAUAAUAAUAAUAGUAAUAAUAAUAAUAAUAAUAAUAAUAAUAAUAAUAAAGUUGGGUGGUUAAGGAAGGGGGAAUAUAUCUUGGAGUAGCUGGGGAUGAGGUGAAUAUGAUCAAAAUACAUUGUAUGAUCUUGUCAAAGAACUAAAAUGAAUGAGAAAAUUAAUUAUUUAUUCUUUGAAAAUUUCAUAGAUUUGUACAAGGUAUUUUGACUAUAUCCACUCACCACUUCCUCCUUUCAACUUCCUCUAGUUCUCCCCACCCUAUCUCUUUCCUGUCUCUGUGUCCUCUUUUAUUUUUUAAUGUCAUUGAUAACCUCAUGAGUUCAAUUGAUAAUGCCCGUAGUCACACAGGAAGGACCAUCUCCUGGAUCGUAGGCAAAUAAAUCAUCAGUAGCCGUGUUCCAAAGUUGAGGAUGAAGGCCUGGAAGCAGAGUUGGUGGAAUGCACCCAGGUGGGGACACAGUGUGUAAGGAGAAUAGUGUGCCUUAGACAUAGCAGCCACCAAUGAGAGUCAUGAAAACUAAAGUGGAUAAAGCGAUUAAAUCCUAAGAGAGCCAGGUAACAUAUGAUAGGGAAGUUGCUCACAUAAUCUCAAUAAGAUGGUUGCCUAAACAGGCAUAAUGACAAUACCAGUUGAAACACCAACAGGGAUGGGAAAAAUUGCACACCAGGUCCUAUCCUUAGAUAGAAAAUCAGACCUCUAUAGGGAAAAGUACACUCAUGGGUUAUCCAAUCUGAAGUUGUCAGCCCUAAAUAGAUGUACAUAGGCACAAUACUAAAUAGACUCAGUGUGUUUAUGUAUGUAUGUGUUUUCUCUCUCUCUCUCUCUCUCUCUCUCUCUCUCUCUCUCUUUGUGUGUGUGUGUGUGUGUGUGUGUGUGUAUGUGUGUAAGAAUGGAAAUUAAAGAUGAGGUCAUGGAUUUGAGAGUGGAGACAUAGGAGGAGUUGGAGGGGUAAAUAGGGAGCAGGAAUGAUGUAAAUAUAGUGUUCAUAUAUGAAUUUUUUAAUUUUUAAAAACAUUAAAAAUUUAAAUCAAAUUAAAAAACCGAAGUCCCAAUUUUCCAAUGGUUUAAGAUAAUAAGCACUAAAUACUUCCCCAUCACAAAAUCAAACAACAAAAUCACUUUUCAUCACAAAGUGCUUUAGUCUAACUGACAUUUAUGGAGCCCGCAUUCACUCACUCCGUCAUGAUAUUUUUCUGUUGGCUUAUCAUUUACACAUGAAUCUACUGAUAUUUUCAUUAUCAUCUGCCCCCCAUAUCCUCUUAGUCAGCAUCCCACUGACCACUCAGUGUGGCAGUUCCUGGUGGGUUUAAAUUAAAUCUCCAUUCUUCUAUUUAUCAAUAAGACUCAGAGGUCAAAGGCUCUGGUGAAAACCGGCUAGCUCAGAAAGACUGAGUUGCUUUUUGGCCUGAGACACUACAAGAUACAUGUCUCUUCUCUGUCCCAGAACCAAGAGAGCCCAAAUUCUAGUCCCCACCCUUUCUGUCCUGUGCAUCUUCUCUAUCCAAAUCGCUGGCUUUUCUAUGGCCAGUUCUGGUCAGCUAGUCAUUGGCUCCACCCUCUGAUUCAGGGUAUCUCUUUUGGGCAGUCUCGGAAUGUCAGAGUGCAAUCAAUAUAUCUCACACUAACACAAGUUGCCCCCAUAUUGAGGAGGAAAUCAAAGCUACAGGUUCCAGCAGAAAGUAAGGGGUAAAAGAGAAGGUGCACCCCUUCCUUAGAGACUGGCUCUGUUAAUACCUACCUGGCAAACCUAGAUGCAGGUUCCAGCACAGGUAGGUGGGGGAUUAUAGGUCCCAGUGGGGUAGCUCCCCAAAUUAUGAGUGGGGAACAUAUGUUUAAAUUGCCCCCAGUUGCCUUAGCACCAGGUCCCUCAAAGAUGGUCUUAGUGUAAGGAGAAGGUAACAGGGCAUCUUAAGGUGAGCACAUGGGCCUCAGGUUUUGUGCAAGGGAAUCAUGUUACUAAGUAUAUUCACCUUAGAAAAAUAUGGCAGCAGUGGGAUAAUUCUGAAGGAUGAAAGCAACACAGUAAGAAAGAAAAAGCAACUGUGCCAACAGCAAGGCAAGAGCUGAAGAUGGGUGAAAGCAUGGAGGUGACAAGUUUGCAGACAGAGAUCAUAGGCAGGUUCAAAGGCAGGGAUGACUGGACCAGGGGACAGGAAGACAGGAAGAGCUUACAUAGACAACGGUGGUCUCCAUACCAAAAGGUGAUCAGCAUAUUGACUUCACCUGGGUGAGGCAUGUCCCCAGAGAGCUUUCCUCCUGACUCAUGGUUGCAGAGACAUGAGCCUAAGCCGGAAAGAAGGGGACAUAAGACAUUCGGCUCCGUUUGAUUUGGAUGGAGUCAGAAAAGCAACAUGGAACCUCUGACUUUCCAGGGAGAUUUUCCUGGAUAUGUCCCCAAACACAGUGUCCAUCCAGGCUCCAUUCACAUCUGCAGCAGCUGGACCUCAAGAGCCUGCUGGUGUGCUCUACACCCAUGCACUUGCCAGCAGUGGCCUGAGUUGCCAUCACAGCUGUUUUCACAGGUUUUGUUUGGGAACUCAGUGUGGGGCUUGGGAACAGCUGGGAGUUUCUGAGUAAUUGCAUACCCUGGGGGUGGAGGAAGGCCAAGUACAACAGCGUGUCCUCAGGACCCAUGACAGGGCAGUGUAGGAAAUCAGGUGAGAUGGCUCCUAAGAGUGGAGUUCCAGCCAUGGGGGUGGAGCUUGAAGCUCAGCCCAGAGGCAGAGACAGCAGUCCCUACAACACAAAGUAAGGCACCCCAGAGCCCUACCACACCCAAGGGUCACCUACUACUUCAAGGAAAUGUGGGUAUUUUAAAUGCAUAUUAGUAUCUCCCCUUUGCUAUGCUAGAACUACACAACUUGAAAGUCAAGUAGAAAGAAAAUGGAUGAUCUCCUUUGCUGUAAAAUGUGUUUUUGCUUUAAGAUUCAGAUCAAAUAUCAGCUUUGAAGCUUUCUUUAGCUUUCUUUGACCUUGUUCCUCUCUUCACUCCAGGAAGAUUGAUUGUCCGUUCUCUACAUCCAUGCCUAUUCUACCACCAGUGUAAAAUGUAAUCAUCUCCACUCAACUGGUCCAUGCUAAUUCAUUACUCACUGGGCUCUGGGGCCCUGAGGGUAUACUAGAGAGGAAAUGGGAGGCAGUCUUCUCUGUGGAUGUGAGGUAUCUCUGGCAGGGAUUAGACAUCUCACUCAGGUUGAUGGAAUCAAAUUUAAUCCACCCAAGGAUUUUGCACGCACAUUGGAAAUUUCCAAGAGAUAGGUCAAAAUAGCAAUCUACAAGCACAUUUGAAAACCUAACCUUUUAUUUGCUUUCCCAGGAGAAGGCCUUGGAAUACUUGACUCCGUUAGAUGUCAUUUGAAGUUGUCAGUAAGCCACUUCAUUGAAUGACAUGAUGUGUCCCUCCCCUAUCAUUAAAUUAUGAAUACACUCCACUGCCAAGCAAUGUGAGAUCUCAGGACUACAACAUGUUCCCCAAAAUAUAUCACUGUUAUCAAGGAGAAACCUUCUCUAAUACAAUAAAGAAAGGUAUGGUGCCAAAAAUAGUUUCAUUCUAGUAGAACCUUGUUCGUGGAGACCUGUUGCUCAAGGGGAUGUUAGCAUGCUCUAAAUCUCGAUUCUUCUCACUUCUGCAUCAAUAAAAUGCAAAUUCUCCUCUCAUCAUAAUUCUCAACUGUACCCAGAUUCCAAGAUCUUAUCCAUGACCCAACUUUGAAAAUCAGGUUUAGCACAACUUAUUCCCUGGCUUAGACCCUCUGUGAUCCUCUUAUUUUUAAAUCAGGAAUAAAAAAAGACAGCUUUUUGUGACCAGACAGCCAAGAAUCCCAGGUGGGAUUCGCUCCAAGAAGAGCACAUGCAUCUGUCAAGAUCCUGAAAAAUGGUUCCUCUUCAAAUCCUAAUUUUUUUCUUUAAGAGAAAAUAUAUAGAAACCACAAACAUAUUUGUAUCGUUGCCAUCCCAUGCCUUCAUUCUUGGAGGAAGUGUUGGAUUUUCUUGUUCUUUGGCUCUUUGGCUCAGAAAGCAAGGAGUGACAUCAGCGAGCUGAAACUACAAGUUCUACCACCCUUUCCGUGUUAAACUACGAUGUUUACUUCUCCGAGGGUUGGCCAAGAAAGUCCAUUUGGGCUGGAACGCCACAUAUUUAGUCUCAGAAUUAAGGUAAUUUCUUUGGAAAAGUUUCAACCAAAUCAAUUUAUUUCAGAGAUGUUGGUGUUGGGUCCCUUUUAAAAAAUUCCACAGCCCCAGGCUUGUUCACAGUACCUGCUCUGCUAACGCAAUUCCAAGCUGGCUGUCAUACUCAAAGCGGUACACUCUGGGUAUAUGGGACUCUGCAAUGUGGGUGUUGGGUGCCCAAGAAAAACGCUGUGGUUUUAUAGGGUGAAUGUAGCUGCAUGAGCUCACUGGAGACUAAAGAUCCGUGGGACUGAGGGGUUUGGACAAGAACCACUCCUGCUAUCUAUAACAUUUUUUCCAUAAUAAAACACACUCACACAGAUUCUUUCACUUGUUCCAUAAGAGUAUUUUGUGACACAGACAGAGUAGAUAUCAUUCUACCUAUUUUCAUAAAGAAAUACAAGGGUUAGGUGUUGGUAACUCCAUGGGCAAGGCUUCAUAGUUAGGAGUAGCAGACCUGCAAUGUGUCUGCCUCAUGGUUCAGCUCCUUUUUUCAAAGCUGCCUUCUCUAACUAAUCAGAAAGAACUAGGAGUGAAAUGGAACUGUAAAGUGUCUGCCCUUGAGGAUGCAUCAAUGAGAACAUAAUAAACAGAUGUCAAGUAUCCCUUGAAGACUACCCAGAAAGCUCUUGUCCAAACUGUUUCUUCUACUCACUCACUGCUGAUGCCUGAAAUCCCACCACUAACCAUAUGCUUCUUCAGGAAGGAUGCUAGAUGCCUGGUGAAGAUAAUCAACAUGGUUUUCUCCUCAAAUGCCCCAUUUGCAGCAUGAAUUGGUUAAUCUUCCAUCAGAGUACAGAUGGAGUCCACUUCCCAUUACUGUGCAUCUGGAUAGGUUUCAUGAUUGACUUUGUCCAAUAGAAUGCAUCAGAGGUGACUUUGGUGACUUCUGAGACUAGGUCUGAAGAGGUAUUACUGUUUCCUCCACUUUGGAUGCUACACUGAGUCUGCUGCAUAAGAAAUCUGGUCCAAACUACUAGAAGAUGAAAGGGCAUAUGGAAGACAACAAGGGCCCUCCAACCAAGAGCCAACAUCAGCUUCUGAAGCAGUGAGUAAGGCCAUCCUGGGUCUUUCCAUCCCUGUUGCUUCUCCAGCUGAAAGCAGUGACAUGAUCAAGUCCAAGGAAAGCAAAGGAGAGGCUGUUGAGCCAACCCACAGAAUUUUGAGAAAUAACAUUAUUUUUAAGCAGAGCCUAACUGAGCAAGGAAAGCAGACAAGAUUACUUCUAAGAUGCUGUCUACUCAUGAUUCCAAAGCCUCUGUGUAAUGCUAUUGUAAAAAUAUUUUACUAUAGUGAUAGCAAAAUAGAGCAAUAUUCAGAGAAGCAUCUACCAUUGAUUUUGCAAAGAAACUACAUACAGAGGAGAAGCGAGUCACCCAAGUUUGUCAUGAAGUGUUAUAUUGUAGAGCUGAGGAUGUGGUUUUGUUGAUAGGAAUGGCUUUUCUAGCAUUCACAAAGCCAUGGGUUCAAUUCCCAGACUGUAUAUAACUGACCAUGGUGGUAUGAUGGUGCAUGUUUAUAAUCCCAGCACUCAGAGGUGGAGUCAAGAAGACUGACAGUUCAAGUCAUUUUCCACUAUAUGACUAAUUUAAGUCCAGUCUAUGCUGCCUAAGACCUUCUCUCCAACAAAUUAAACUUAAAAUGGUAGAUUUUACAGCAUAGAACCUGACAGAGAGGAACACAAAUCCUGGCCCAUGAUCCAUACCUUCUUAACAGUUUCUCCACACACCUAAAAGAAUGGGUUGGACUGUUUCAUGAAUAGAGAUGCACUCCAUUGUGAAGUUAGCCAGGUCUACACAGAGAAAGGCCCCAAGAAACAGCCCAUUCUAGUGGACUACCCUUCCUAUUGAAUGACACUGACUCUUUCAUGCUUGUUUGGGACCAUGUUCAAAUGUGCAGACUUCAGCUGAAAUCAAGAGAGACUGAAACAGUCAGCCACACUUCAAAUAUUUAUUUUGUAUUCUAACAAUCAAUUUCUCAUCUCUCCUCCCAAUCUUUUUCCACCUGUUUGCAGAAAUAAUUACUAGUGCCCAAUUAUGAGCUCUCUGCCACUUUUCUCUCUGCAUUUCUGAAAGCACUCAGGAAAACUCUUCUCCUGAAGCGUAAGCCAUUACUAACAUAUCGUGGCGUCUGGCGUUGAUGUAGAGCCAAACUGGGAACUUCUGGGUUGGUCUUGGAUUGAGCUGAGGGGAGUUAAAUGUUUGGGGCAGGGGUGGAGUGGGGCUCCAACAAAAUGGCAAAAGUUAACUUCAAAAUGAAUGUCAGAAGAAAGAAUUAGAAGAGACAAUUAAAUAAACACCUGAGUGGAAAUUCCAGGGCUGGUGCCAUCGGCAGAGCAUGCAACACCCAUUUUAGACACAUUCUAAAGACAGUUUCAAUAAGGCAUCUGAGAAGGUGAAUCGAAUAAAUUCCAAAUCUUCAGAACAGGGUGGUUGCUAUGUGGCUUCCUAUGAGUGGACUAUUAAAUGAACUUUAAGGGGAAAAAAAUAAAACCUAGCAGUUUCUCCUGUCAUCGCCCAAUGAAAAAGAAGAGGAAAAGAAUCAGUUAGCCAGCAGAAUGACAUUCAGAUGUUGAAAGGGUGAAACCUGAGCAACACUUCGAAACCUUUGCUAGAAAACAAGAAGCUAGUGUUGAAAGUGAAGACACAAAGGCAAGCACUCUCCGAGGUUUAGCACACAGGCUGUGCCCACACUCUGAUUGGCAUGGACAAUUUGCCUAAGAAAACACAGCGGCCAGAUUCCAGCUAGCACCUUCUCACCUCCAUUUAUAACUGUAAGUGGCAAGGGUGAAGUUGAAAGGGAGAUGAUGGCCAGAACCUUCUCACAUACCUGCUGCUGCCAGCAUAUCUAGAACCAAUGGUUACCUAAGCCUCUCAUUUCAUUCCAACAUGUCUCAACCUACAAAGCAGGUCACACCCACAGAACUGUAGAAGAUUCACUAGCAUACUAGAAUGUCUUUGGUGUCUAGCAUACGUCAAAGACAAUGCAAGUGCUAAGAACAAAAGCCGGCAUCCACCAUCUAUCUAAGACCCAAUCAAUAUUGAUGACUAAGAGUGUUUAGUUUGGAAUAAAUAGCAUGUACAACUGUAGAUGAGACCCAGAUGAUGGAGAGAGCAUUGCAACUAAAAAUGAGAAGACAUGACAAGUUUAGUGAUCUAAUGAUUCCUUAAAAAAAAUUAAGUAUCACUUAAACUCUGGGAAGUCAGUCUCCUGACCCCGAAGCAAGAUAGCUCUACUGCAUGAUGCCUCCAAAGCCCCCUGAAGGUUUGCUGAAGAAAAGGUUGAGCAUCACCCCCUUUUUUGAGCAUCUCUUCUAAUCUACCGCAACUGCUGUAGUCUUCAUCCAAACCACAGUAGAGUUUAGAUAAAAUGAAUUGAACUCUGUCUGACUUUGGGACAAACUGGAUAUGGCUAAGUGUUUGCUAUAUGUUAGCAGAAAUAAAUUCAUUGAAACAAUUCUUGUUCAAGAGGUCAGAAGAUGGGAGGAUAUAGUGAUGCUCUGAUAUCACACAUGCACUCAAGGUUAAAAUAAGAAUCUACCAUAAUUUCUCAGCUUCUUCAUAAUGUGCUCCAUGCCUUUCUCCAAAGUUUUAUCCUGAAAUUAUUAUCCUAAAUUAUUAUCUUAAAAAUCACAUAUUACCUUUUAAUUUUCAUGGAAGAGUAAUCAAAAUAAUCAGUAUAAUUUUGUAGUGUAUUUAAGUAUAGAAAAAUUAAAUGUUAGCUUUUCAUUCAUCUGACAUAAGUGGUGUCCACUGAAAUGUGACUUGAUUUUACUAACUGGAACAUAAAAGUUGUAAGCAUGAAUGGUAUUAAAGCAAACAUCUCACCAACAUUCGACCCUUGGCUCCCUGGGAAAAGAGGUAAUUGGACUCCUCUAGAAAACUCUGGUACAGCAAAUAAAUGUUAUUUAGAACUAUGUCAUUUCGUCUAUUUCUUUUUAUCUUGUUAAAUUCAAAUAAAAUUAAAAUUGUCCCAUGAGGGAUUAGUUUUUAAACUUUCAUAAUAUAAUUCUUCAUACUAUUUUUUAGUGUCUAAAUUUUCUAACAUAAAAUUGUAUUUCUUUCAACAUAACAAAAAUUAACACUUUAUGCCAGGCAAUGGAGGUACAGUCCUUUAAUCCAAGCACUGGGGAGUCAGAGAGGUGGUUGGAUCUCUGUGAGUUCAAGGCCAUCUUGGUCUACAAAGUGAAUUCCAGGACAUCCAGGGCUACACAGAGAACCCUUGUCUCAGAAAAAAUGGCAUGUAUUUAUUGUUAGUUGUGUGUGUUUGUGUCACCACCCAUGUGUGGAGAUUCGAGAACAACUUGCAAGCAUUGGUUCCCUUCUUCCAUAUGUGGGCUCCACAGAUGGAGCCCAGGUCUUCAGCCUACAAAUCAAGUGCUUUUACCUGAUGGUCCACUCCACUCAAUCCUAAAAUAACAUAUUUUAACAUUGGUGCAGGAUUCAGGUAAAUCCAUACAUUUUCUCCAUCAUUCUAGCUAAGGGCAUCUCUUCCAGGAAUAGUAAAGCUGCCAAGAUAGUGUUCCCUCCUGAGAAAAUUUCCUUACAAGCUAGGAAUUAGAAAGACCCACAGAUGAGAUGAAGCUGGGAUACAGUUAAUGCCAUGCAGGACUCUUAAAAUGAAUAAACUGAGGACAAGGAAGAUGUUGGGGCUCUGGGACCUCAGUGUGGCAACACCACCUCUGCCUGCAUUCAUUAAUUAUACAACAUGAACUAAAAGUUAUGGACCUGCCAGGCUAUUGCACAGACUAAAGUGGUGACUGAGAUGCCAUUAGGGCCCCCAUCAAAGUAGACUAGCAAGAGACACUAAGUCAUCAAAAGGCAACUAAAUAUGAGUCAAUUGGAUCUCAUAGUGUUCUUUCCUGUAUCUCUCCAAAUAUUCUACAGAAAUGGUAUGUGCACACAUGUAUGUGUGUGGUGUGGGAGCACAGGUGGGCACAUGCAUGGGUGCGGGACAGAAAGAGAGGGAGAGGGAGACAGACAGAUGGACAGACAUAGAUAGAGAACUGAA